CCUACGGGGCGCACCAGUGGGGAAUAUUGCACAAUGGGCGCAAGCCUGAUGCAGCCAUGCCGCGUGUAUGAAGAAGGCCUUCGGGUUGUAAAGUACUUUCAGCGGGGAGGAAAGGGAUGUGGUUAAUAACCGCAUUCAUUGACGUUACCCGCAGAAGAAGCACCGGCUAACUCCGUGCCAGCAGCCGCGGUAAUACGGAGGGUGCAAGCGUUAAUCGGAAUUACUGGGCGUAAAGCGCACGCAGGCGGUCUGUCAAGUCGGAUGUGAAAUCCCCGGGCUCAACCUGGGAACUGCAUUCGAAACUGGCAGGCUUGAGUCUCGUAGAGGGGGGUAGAAUUCCAGGUGUAGCGGUGAAAUGCGUAGAGAUCUGGAGGAAUACCGGUGGCGAUGGCGGCCCCCUGGACGAAGACUGACGCUCAGGUGCGAAAGCGUGGGGAGCAAACAGGAUUAGAUACCCUCGUAGUC
rnacentral:rRNA from 1 species